UACGGAGGGUGCAAGCGUUAAUCGGAAUUACUGGGCGUAAAGCGCGCGGAGGCGGCUAGAUAAGUCGGAUGUGAAAGCCCCGGGCUCAACCUGGGAACUGCAUUCGACACUGUUUGGCUAGAGUAUGAGAGAGGGAGGUAGAAUUCCACGUGUAGCGGUGAAAUGCGUAGAUAUGUGGAGGAAUACCGGUGGCAAAGGCGGCCUCCUGGCUUAAUACUGACGCUGAGGCGCGACAGCGUGGGGAGCAAACAGG
rnacentral:rRNA from 1 species